UCCGAGUUGACCCCGGCAGUCUCCUAUGAGUCCCCACCAUUAUGUGCUGGCAACAUAGAACGAGGGUUGCGCUCGUUGCGGGACUUAACCCAACAUCUCACGACACGAGCUGACGACAACCAUGCACCACCUGUGCACGGCCCUUACGGACCCCCCAUCUCUGGAGGAUUUCCGUGCAUGUCAAGCCUAGGUAAGGUUCUUCGCGUUGCAUCGAAUUAAGCAACAUGCUCCACCGCUUGUGCAGGCCCCCGUCAAUUUCUUUGAGUUUUAACCUUGCGGCCGUACUCCCCAGGCGGUCUACUUCUCGCGUUAGCUGCGUUACUAAGGGAUUUAACUCCCCCAACAACUAGUAGACAUAGUUUAGGGCGUGGACUAC
rnacentral:misc_RNA from 1 species